CUACAAGUGUGCACCACCAUACCCAACACAGAAAACAGACUCAAGAAAUAAGUCGUAAUUAAUUUUCUACUUUCAUAAGUUUCUUUAAAAAACAAACAAACAAACAAAAAAGUUGUGUUUCAUUUAACAUUUGGCACUUUUAUCUUCCAGACCCCAAACACCAAGUGAAGGGAAUGACUUGGACUAAUGUUUCACUGAGCAGGCCUGAGACUAUAAUCAACCUCUGAGGUUAAAUUACAAAGCACCCUUCACACCUCAAAUGACUGAGGCUUUUAUAUGACCCAGCAAUGAACAAGCACAGAGGGACAGGCAUCUCCCACACAAGGGGGACAUCACUAAUCUGGGAGUUAUGUGGACACAAUCUGCUAUGGGUCAGACGCUUCCCUCUGAAGUCAUGUAAGGAGCGGUUCCAAGACACGAACAGCGACAACAAAUGUUACAGAUAAGCUCACAGAUGAGUCGGCCUGUGACGCCUGGGAGGCACAAGGACCCUGAACAGAGCGGUCAGCAGUGCCGAGACUGGCAAGGAGGUGACAGUGGUCUCAGCAAACGGAGAGGCUUGGUAUACUCUGAAUAAGUGUGGAGCAGUUGUGGCUGAAGGCCUUUGUGGGCUACAAUGGGAACUGGCAGGCCAACGUGGUCUGGAGGCCCGACACAGGUAGGCUCCUAUCCUGUAACUCCAGUUUUAGGAGAUCUGAUGCCUUUUUCUGACCUCCACAGCCACCAG
rnacentral:lncRNA from 1 species